rnacentral:rRNA from 1 species
CGGGGUGCAGCAGGCGCGAAAACUUUACAAUGCGGGAAACCGUGAUAAGGGGACACCGAGUGCCAGCAUCAUAUGCUGGCUGUCCAGGUGUGUAAAAUACACCUGUUAGCAAGGGCCGGGCAAGACCGGUGCCAGCCGCCGCGGUAACACCGGCGGCCCGAGUGGUGAUCGUGAUUAUUGGGUCUAAAGGGUCCGUAGCCGGUUUGGUCAGUCCUCCGGGAAAUCUGACGGCUCAACCGUUAGGCUUUCGGGGGAUACUGCCAGGCUUGGAACCGGGAGAGGUAAGAGGUACUACAGGGGUAGGAGUGAAAUCUUGUAAUCCCUGUGAGACCACCUGUGGCGAAGGCGUCUUACCAGAACGGGUUCGACGGUGAGGGACGAAAGCUGGGGGCACGAACCGGAUUAGAUACCCGGGUAGUCCCAGCCGUAAACGAUGCUCGCUAGGUGUCAGGCAUGGCGCGACCGUGUCUGGUGCCGCAGGGAAGCCGUGAAGCGAGCCACCUGGGAAGUACGGCCGCAAGGCUGAAACUUAAAGGAAUUGGCGGGGGAGCACAAGGGCGAAUCGCGG